rnacentral:rRNA from 1 species
CAUUAAAAAGUUAAUUGUGUAAUUCAAUUUAAUUUGAAUUUUAAAAAUGAUUUUUAUUUGUUAAUAAAAAUAUUUUUAUUUUUAGUAAUUAUUUAGGAAAAAAUUUAUAUAAUAAUAGUGAAUUAGUAUAGUAAUAGAAUUUUAAAAUAUAAAAAUAAGAAAAAUUAAUUUUUUGUACCUUGUGUAUCAGGGUUUAUUUAAUAAAAAUUUGAUAAAAAAUUUUCUCGAUUUAAAAAGAGUUAAUUAUAUAUAUAUAUUAUUGUAAAAUAAAUAUUUAAAAUAUAUAAUUGGUAAUGAUACGUUAAUCGUUUUUUAAUAUAUCUAGUUUUUAAAGAAAAAAAUUUAAUUUUAAUUAUAUAGAUAUAUAUAAAUAUAUUAUAAAAUAAUAAAUUUUAUAUAAUUAAUAUUAUAGGGGAUAAGCUUUAUAAUAAAAUUUUAAAAAUUUUUUAAAUAUAAUAAAUAAAAAUUGUAGAAUUAAUAAUAUUCAUCAUAUAGUUUGUUAUAAUUAAUUAAUAAAAAUAAUAAAAUUUAUAAAAAUUUUAAAUGUUUUAUUUAAAUAUUAAAUUUAAUUUAUAAAUUUAAGUAAUAAUGAUAAAAUUAGUAUAAAUAAAUUGUAUUAUUAAAUUAUUAUAUAUAUAUAUAUAUAUAUAUAUAUUUAUAUUUAAGGUUAUAAAAAGGAAUUCGGCAAAUAGAUUUUUCGCCUGUUUAAUAAAAACAUGUCUUUUUGAUUAUUAUUUAAAGUCAGACCUGCCCAAUGACAUUGUUUAAUGGCCGCAGUAUUUUGACUGUGCAAAGGUAGCAUAAUCAUUAGUUUCUUAAUUAGAAACUGGAAUGAAGGGUUAAACGAGAAAAUAACUGUCUCUUUAUAAAUUAUUUAGAAAUUUAUUUUUAAGUUAAAAAGCUUAAAUAUAUUAAAAAGACGAGAAGACCCUAUAGAGUUUUAUAUAUAAUUAAUUUAAGUAGAUUUUGUAAUAUUAAUAUUUUAAUUAUUUAUAUAUUUAAUUGGGGUGAUUAUAAAAUUUAAUAAACUUUUAGAAAUUUAAACAUUUAUUUAUGAUUAAUUGAUCCAUAAUUUAUGAUUAAAAGAUUAAAUUACCUUAGGGAUAACAGCGUAAUUUCUUUGAAGAGUUCUAAUCGAUAAAGAAGUUUGCGACCUCGAUGUUGGAUUAAAAUAUAAUUUUAAUGUAGUAGUUAAAAAAUUAGGUCUGUUCGACCUUUAAAAUUUUACAUGAUCUGAGUUUAAACCGGUGUAAGCCAGGUUGGUUUCUAUCUUUUAAAUAAUUUAAUAUUUUAGUACGAAAGGACCAGAUAUUAAUUAAAUUAAUUAUACAAGAAUAUUAUUAUUAUUUUGGCAGAUUAGUGUGUUAAAUUUAGAAUUUAAUUAU